GCAUAACUGCUGAAGUUCAAAAUCUGCUCAAAGCAAGGAAGUUGUUGAGAUAAAUAAAAUUUGUAAAUGUUAGCAGAAUCUUAUCUUUUUGUUGCUAUUUGUUAGGAUACAACUGUUAGGGAUAAUCUGCAACUGAUUUUCUGCUUUGUUUUAAGAGCUUUUCAGUUAUAAAUUCUUGUAUAAAUAUGGCUUUGAUUAUUGAAUAAAAUACGAUGAGCAA
rnacentral:lncRNA from 1 species